rnacentral:rRNA from 1 species
AUUGAACGCUGGCGGCAGGCCUAACACAUGCAAGUCGAGCGGAUGAAGGGAGCUUGCUCCUGGAUUCAGCGGCGGACGGGUGAGUAAUGCCUAGGAAUCUGCCUGGUAGUGGGGGAUAACGUCCGGAAACGGGCGCUAAUACCGCAUACGUCCUGAGGGAGAAAGUGGGGGAUCUUCGGACCUCACGCUAUCAGAUGAGCCUAGGUCGGAUUAGCUAGUUGGUGGGGUAAAGGCCUACCAAGGCGACGAUCCGUAACUGGUCUGAGAGGAUGAUCAGUCACACUGGAACUGAGACACGGUCCAGACUCCUACGGGAGGCAGCAGUGGGGAAUAUUGGACAGUGGGCGAAAGCCUGAUCCAGCCAUGCCGCGUGUGUGAAGAAGGUCUUCGGAUUGUAAAGAACUUUAAGUUGGGAGGAAGGGCAGUAAGUUAAUACCUUGCUGUUUUGACGUUACCAACAGAAUAAGCACCGGCUAACUUCGUG